rnacentral:tRNA from 1 species
ACCUGGGUGGCUCAGUCGGUUGAGCAUCUGACUUCAGCUCAGGUCAUGAUCUCACAGUUCAUGAGUUGGAGCCUCGUGUCAGGCU